AGAGUUUGAUCAUGGCUCAGAUUGAACGCUGGCGGCAGGCCUAACACAUGCAAGUCGAGCGCGAAAACACUUCGGUGUGAGUAGAGCGGCGGACGGGUGAGUAAUGCUUGGGAAUCUGCCCAGUAGUGGGGGAUAACGUGUGGAAACGCACGCUAAUACCGCAUACGUCCUACGGGAGAAAGCAGGGGAUCUUCGGACCUUGCGCUAUUGGAUGAGCCCAAGUCAGAUUAGCUAGUUGGUGAGGUAAUGGCUCACCAAGGCGACGAUCUGUAGCUGGUCUGAGAGGAUGAUCAGCCACACUGGGACUGAGACACGGCCCAGACUCCUACGGGAGGCAGCAGUGGGGAAUAUUGCACAAUGGGCGAAAGCCUGAUGCAGCCAUGCCGCGUGUGUGAAGAAGGCUCUAGGGUUGUAAAGCACUUUCAGUGGGGAGGAAAAGUUUAAGAUUAAU
rnacentral:rRNA from 1 species